rnacentral:lncRNA from 1 species
AAAGUGACUAAAUGAAAAUAUUGAAAACAAUAAACUCACUUGUUUUGGGCUUUUGUAUUACCUUGAUAGUGAUAAUCCAUGGCCAAGGAAGAAAUUAACACAAGAUGAUACACAGAAGCUGGACUGAGAUCAAAAAUAGAAGAUCAAUUCUGGGGAAAGCAAAGUAUAUUCUUAGCGCUGCUGUCUGUCAUAGAUCUUCAGUGCUUCAACCAUGCUUUCUGGAUGUCUUUGGCGUCUAUAUGUACCAUCUUUCCCUCCAGCAAGAUGAAAGAUGCCUGACUAAAAGAAAUCCCAGGCUGAGAAACCUUGGUCCCUCUGCUGUUGCAGUUACACACCACUGGUGA